rnacentral:rRNA from 1 species
AGCGAACGCUGGCGGCAGGCUUAACACAUGCAAGUCGAACGCAUCCUUCCGGGUGAGUGGCAGACGGGUGAGUAACACGUGGGAACGUACCCUUCGAUCUGGGAUAACUUCGGGAAACUGGAGCUAAUACCGGAUACGCCCUUUUGGGGAAAGGUUUACUGUCGAAGGAUCGGCCCGCGUCUGAUUAGCUAGUUGGUGGGGUAACGGCCUACCAAGGCGACGAUCAGUAGCUGGUCUGAGAGGAUGAUCAGCCACACUGGGACUGAGACACGGCCCAGACUCCUACGGGAGGCAGCAGUGGGGAAUAUUGGACAAUGGGCGCAAGCCUGAUCCAGCCAUGCCGCGUGAGUGAUGAAGGCCUUAGGGUUGUAAAGCUCUUUUGUCCGGGACGAUAAUGACGGUACCGGAAGAAUAAGCCCCGGCUAACUUCGUG